rnacentral:rRNA from 1 species
GUACUCCCCAGGCGGAGUGCUUAUUGUGUUUACUUCGGCACUGAGUAUCGCUACCCAACACCUAGCACUCAUCGUUUACAGCGUGGACUACCAGGGUAUCUAAUCCUGUUUGCUACCCACGCUUUCGUGACUCAGCGUCAGUUACAGUCCAGUAAGUCGCCUUCGCCACUGGUGUUCCUCCUAAUAUCUACGCAUUUCACCGCUACACUAGGAAUUCCACUUACCUCUCCUGCACUCAAGUUGUACAGUUUCAAAUGCUAACUAUGGUUAAGCCUUAGCCUUUUACAUCUGACACAUACAACCGCCUACUCACCCUUUACGCCCAGUAAAUCCGGACAACGCUCGCCCCCUACGUAUUACCGCGGCUGCUGGCACGUAGUUAGCCGGGGCUUCCUCCUUGGCUACCGUCAUUUCUUUCUUCACCAAGGACAGAGUUUUACGAUCCGAAGACCUUCUUCACUCACGCGGCGUCGCUGCAUCAGAGUUUCCUCC